rnacentral:lncRNA from 1 species
AUGAAGGACGAACUCGGACCAAGUUGGGCAUCUGAGAGGCUUCAGCUCGUCCCUUCUUCCCAACAAGCCCCCCGACCUGGGAGACAGACAGAGGCAGGCCACUAUUCCUGGCCUCUUCUAGAAACUCACACUUUAGGCGAUGCAACCCAAGAGCCCUGGGAGAUCCCACGGAAGAGCAGAGGCAGAAGUCCUGGUCAGGCUGCAGUGAAGCCUCCAUCACGACAUCCCCGUAUCCUCCCAGAGCAACCCCAACGGAUGUGACUGCACUUCAGCGUUGGCUUCUUUGGGAGCUCCUGCAGACAAAGUUGGCGAGAGAACCGGAAUUGCUUGAUUCUCAACAUGUAAGUAAUUAUCAUCCUGCUUUCAGUUCUGUUCAAAGGGAAAGGCACGCCCCUCCUAUUUUAGAAGUGUACACUAUGGACAGCUCAACUCUAUGGGCUAUAGAAAGUUUCUUAUCUUUUAGCCCUACAGAAAACAUCCCUCUUCCAACGCAAGUCUUGCUCUUCACCGAGGCACUCGUUUCACCAUAAAGGAGAUCGGAAACUAAACCAUUUCCCGGGUUUUACAUUGCUUCUCUUAAGCUGAGUUGCCCCACAAUAUUGAGCGCCAGAAAGGGUCCAUUUCUGGACUGGGUUUCCCCUCUCCUAGCACCCACGUCUGUAAAGAAUCAGAAGC